rnacentral:pre_miRNA from 1 species
AGUGUCAUUGCUGGAUCAUAUGGUAAGAAUAUGUUUAGUUUUGUAAGAAACUGCCAAACUGUCUUCCAAAGUGGCUGUACCAUUUUGCUUUCCCACCAGCAAU